UAUGUUACGACUUAUCUCCUCUUAGGAGGAGAGUGACGGGCGAUAUGUGCAUAUUUUAUUGCCUCAUUCAAUUUUACAUUCUUAGAAAAAUUUACUAAUAAAUCCACCUUCAAAUAUUUAUUCCAAAUACAAUCCGUUUAAUUAAAUAUUAAUGUAGCUCAUCUCCACUUUUUUAUUAGUUGCACCUUGACCUGAAGUUAUAAAAUUAUUUUUUAUGAAAACAUUCUUAUAAAGUAAUCUGACAACGGAGGUAUACAAACUUUACAAAAAAAAGAAAGAUUUAACGAGGAUUAUCGAUUACGGGACAAGCUCCUCUAUUAGGAUAAAAUACCGCCAAAAUCUUUGGGUUUGAAGAAUAUACUUUUACUACCCUAGUUACUUAAUUACUCAGAAUAACAGGGUAUCUAAUCCUGGUUUAUAAUUUGAGGUUUUAAGAUCUAAAAGUUUUACAUACAAUAACCUAUAAUAAUUUUAUAGAUUUCACUCAAAAAAUUAUUCUAAACUAUUAUACCAUAAAACAUAAAAUUAUCUUAAUUUAACUUUAAAUUUUACUUAGGUUCUUCGUCUAACC
rnacentral:rRNA from 1 species